rnacentral:tRNA from 1 species
GAGGUCUUAGUUUAAUAAAAGCGUCUGUUUUGCAUGCAGAAGAUGUGGGUUAGUAUCCUGUAGAUCUUA